GAGUUGUGGUGAGUUAUGGUGAGUUGUGGUGAGUUGUGGUGAGUUAUAGUGGGUUAUGGUAAGUUGUGGUGAGUUAUGGUGAGUUGUGGUGAGUUAUGGUAAGUUGUGGUGAGUUAGAGGGAGUUAAAGUGAGUUGUGGAAAGUUAUAGGGAGUUAUGGUGAGUUGUGGUGAGUUAUGGUGAGUUGUGGUGAGUUGUUAUGAGUAAUGGUGAGUUGUGGUGAGUUGUGGUGAGUUAUAGUGAGUUAUGGUGAGUUGUGGUGAGUUAUGGUAAGUUGUGGUGAGUUAGAGGGAGUUAUGGUGAGUUGUGGUGAGUUAUGGUAAGUUGUGGUGAGUUAUAAGGGAGUUAUGGUGAGUUGUGGUGAGUUAUGGUAAGUUGUGGUGAGUUGUUAUGAGUAAUGGUGAGUUGUGGUGAGUUAUAAGGGAGUUAUGGUGAGUUGUGGUGAGUUAUGGUAAGUUGUGGUGAGUUGUUAUGAGUAAUGGUGAGUUGUGGUGAGUUAUAAGGGAGUUAUGGUGAGUU